GUUGUCCAGAAAAUGAGUCUUAGCUCAGCUUUAAAAAAUACCAAAAAAUAGAACUAAAUCUAGACUGUAUUUUUAAAAGUUAAUCUAAAAGGGUACAGCCUUUUAGAAAUGGGUACAACCUUGACUAGAGAGUAAAACCCCAAAACCCCAUAGUGGGCCUAAAAGCAGCCAUCAAUUGAGAAAGCGUUAAAGCUCAACAUCAAAAUCACAUAAAUUCCAACAAUAAACAAUCAACUCCUAGCCCUAAUACUGGACUAAUCUAUUAAAUAAUAGAAGAAAUAAUGUUAAUAUGAGUAACAAGAAAUAAUUUCUCCUUGCAUAAGCUUAAGUCAGUACCUGAUAAUACCCUGACCAUUAACAAUGAAUAAAAUAACCCAACAAAUAAAUUAUUUAUUAAUCACACUGUUAAUCCAACACAGGCAUGCACUCAAGGAAAGAUUAAAAGAAGUAAAAGGAACUCGGCAAACACAAACCCCGCCUGUUUACCAAAAACAUCACCUCCAGCAUUCCUAGUAUUGGAGGCACUGCCUGCCCAGUGACAACCGUUAAACGGCCGCGGUAUCCUG
rnacentral:rRNA from 1 species